GAACGUCCAAUGCGGUCGCCGUGGCGUGCGCUGCCCCAUUUUUUAUGGAGCAUGUGUCGUCCGUGAUCCCGUCAACCUCUGCGACCGUGGGAGCUUACGUGGCCGCGGUGGAGACGUGCAAGACACAGAGUAAACAAAGUGGCCCCGAGUGGUAAACAAGCGUGGCUAACCACGAAGCAAAGCAAGCAUCCAAUCAAAUAUCAACCAAUCCGGGGGCAAAGCUGGAAAACGGAGACUUCUUGUGGGGGCGGGGACAAGAUGCGGAGCUCGGCCGGAACGCAGUGGGCUGCAAGACCUUGAUCUGGUGGGGGGCAGGGAGAGGAAGGUGGCCCCUUGGGUGCAUUGGGAAAAACCUUAGCUUUGCAGUCGGAACAUCCGAGUACCGGACAGCAGCAGCUGUGAGCCUGGGAAAAUUACCAAAUUUAUAGCCUCGUUUGAUGGUCUGUAAAGUGGGCAAGGUAUUUGGCAAUGCCUGCCUCGGUAUCCGGAGCAAAAUGCUUUCAAACCAGACGCCCAGAGGGUUUCUUCCUAGCACUUUUGGUUGGUGCAUCCCUUCCCACACAACUGGGAUUAGUGGUAGGCAGCUGCUGGGGUGCCUUUUGGGAGUGAUGCACGAUAGGGAUAAUUGUUCAUGGUUUUACAAAGCACAUUUUUGAAUUCCAGAAACCCCAUCCCCUUGUAUCAAAAUGAAUGCUCAAGGCCUUCAGGUGGAUGAUUCGGGGGAGAACAAACUCGGGGUGAACGAUUUACCUUGGUAUCUGAACUGAAAUUAAAUUUUCAGUCACAGGCCUUGGAAACUCCUCCAAGUUGAUGGCCCCAAUUACCACCACCAUCAACAGAGUUAAAGACAAAACCUGAAGAGAGAUUCAGGGCUGGCAAGCUAAUCUACCUGAGGAAGCAGUGUAUCCUGAGAGAGGAGGCAGACUGUAUGAAACCACCACCAUUUUGAUCUUCAUCACCCAACAUCUCUAAUGGAGACAGGACAUUGACAAAGUGGACUAUGUCUACAAGAGGAUACUCUGGUGAAAAGACUCAAAACCACAACGUACAAGGAUCACUUGAAAAAAUUGGGAGCUAUUUGGCUUGAAGAGAAGUCUACAGGGGAAUGUUACAGUUGUCUUUUAAGUUUUUGAAGAACUGCCAUAUGGAAGAGAAAUUAGACUUGUUUCUGCUUAGAUCCAGAGAGAGUUGACCAAAGGACAAAAACGAGAGACAAAUUUUGGUUC
rnacentral:lncRNA from 1 species